rnacentral:rRNA from 1 species
CCUACGGGUGGCAGCCGUGAGGAAUAUUGGUCAAUGGACGGAAGUCUGAACCAGCCAUGCCGCGUGCAGGAAGACGGCUCUAUGAGUUGUAAACUGCUUUUGUACAAGGGUAAACCUGAAUACGUGUAUUCAGCUGAAAGUACUGUACGAAUAAGGCUCGGCUAACUCCGUGCCAGCAGCCGCGGUAAUACGGAGGAUCCAAGCGUUAUCCGGAUUUAGUGGGUUUAAUGGGUGCGUAGGCGGAUUGAUAAGUUAGAGGUGAAAUGUCCGAGCUUAACUCGGGAACUGCCUCUAAUACUGUUGAGCUAGAGAGUAGAUGCGGUAGGCGGAAUGUAUGGUGUAGCGGUGAAAUGCUUAGAGAUCAUACAGAACACCGAUUGCGAAGGCAGCUUACCAAUCUAUAUCUGACGUUGAGGCACGAAAGCGUGGGGAGCAAACAGGAUUAGAUACCGAGUAGUC